rnacentral:pre_miRNA from 1 species
UGGACAAAUUAUUGUAUUCAACUGUAUUCACAAAUACACGGCGUAAAACAGGGGGUUACACUGUUUAUAAACGGAAAGUGAAUCAGUUAACAUAAUAGACUCAU